UACGGGGGGGGCAAGCGUUGUUCGGAAUUACUGGGCGUAAAGGGCUCGUAGGCGGCCAACUAAGUCAUACGUGAAAUCCCUCGGCUUAACCGGGGAACUGCGUCUGAUACUGGAUGGCUUGAGAUUCGGGAGAGGGAUGCGGAAUUCCAGGUGUAGCGGUGAAAUGCGUAGAUAUCUGGAGGAAUACCGGUGGCGAAGGCGGCAUCCUGGACCGGCAUUGACGCUGAGGCGCGAAAGCCAGGGGAGCAAACGGG
rnacentral:rRNA from 1 species